rnacentral:rRNA from 1 species
UGAGUAACACGUAUCCAACCUGCCGUCUACUCUUGGACAGCCUUCUGAAAGGAAGAUUAAUACAAGAUGGCAUCAUGAGUCCACAUGUUCACAUGAUUAAAGGUAUUCCGGUAGACGAUGGGGAUGCGUUCCAUUAGAUAGUAGGCGGGGUAACGGCCCACCUAGUCUUCGAUGGAUAGGGGUUCUGAGAGGAAGGUCCCCCACAUUGGAACUGAGACACGGUCUAA